rnacentral:rRNA from 1 species
UACGUAGGGGGCAAGCGUUAUCCGGAAUUACUGGGUGUAAAGGGAGCGUAGACGGUAAUGUAAGUCUGGAGUGAAAGGCGGGGGCCCAACCCCCGGACUGCUCUGGAAACUAUGUUACUAGAGUGCAGGAGAGGUAAGCGGAACUCCUAGUGUAGCGGUGAAAUGCGUAGAUAUUAGGAGGAACACCAGUGGCGAAGGCGGCUUACUGGACUGUAACUGACGUUGAGGCUCGAAAGCGUGGGGAGCAAACAGG